GAUGCUUAUCGAGAAUGGAUGGUGACUCCCUUUGUCAAGAUUUGUUCCGGCUUUAGCCAUUCUUGAUCAUCUUACCAAGACUUGGGAAGCGCUUAGACCGAGAAGCACUCAAAAAUUGUGGACUGCUUCGGUUUGGUUCUAAGGCGCAGUUCCUAAGCACGCGUUUAACAUGUGGAUAAGUCACCUAAAUCGCUUGCCUACGCGUUUAACGUAUGGUUUUCCACAGGUUGUGCUCUCGACAGAAGUUGGUUUGGUCUUGGGCAGAAUUGCUUUCUUGGACCUCACGAUCCUCUUCCUCCGCUCCUUCUCUGCUUAGAAAAGUUGUAGCUCAAUUGUGUGAAUCAGAGAGAACCUCCUCUACAAUCAGAAGCUUUGCUUUUUGCGAAUGGACCUGCAACACUCAACAAUACUUUGGGCCUCAGUCAAAGUGUCAAGCCCAUUAACCUCAAAUCUUCUCUACCUUGCAACGGUAACAAGAUUCCUCAAUUUUCAGCGCAUCAACGUACGGGAUUCACAGCUCAUCAACUGUCCCUUCAUAACAAAUUUCAUCCUCUUUGUUCCUCUGUUGUGAUGUGUAGCUAAUGACGUGUGACCUAUUGUCUCACUAUUUUGGGGUUCAUAUAUAAACCCUUCUCUGUCAUUGUAAACCUUAAGCUGAAAUAUUCAAUAAAGAGAUUUCUCUUCAUCAUCGUUUUAUCAAUACUUUCAAACUGG
rnacentral:sRNA from 1 species